AUCGCUUCUCAGCCUUUUGGCUAAGCUCAAGUGUGGUAUUUGUUCUUAUCAGUUUAAUUUCAGUACUAAACAAAUUCAGUGUUGUUCCUCUCAGAGCUAGGGAGUGCCUCGUCUGUCUCUAUACAACCACAUGUCCCUCCCUAGAUGAUCUUCCCUAAGGGCGGAGUCCUAUAAAGCCAAAGACAGUCUUC
rnacentral:snRNA from 1 species